UACAGAGGAGCCAAGCGUUGUCCGGAUUGACUGGGCGUAAAGCGCACGCAGGCGGCCGCGCGCGUGGGGUGUGAAAUCUGGCCGCUUAACGGCCAGGCGCCAUCCCAUACGGCGCGGCUGGAGCCAUGCAGAGGGCGGUGGAAUUGCCGGUGUAGUGGUGAAAUGCGUAGAGAUCGGCAGGAACACCCAGGGGGAAGCCAGCCGCCUGGGCAUGCGCUGACGCUGAGGUGCGAGAGCGUGGGGAGCGAACCGG
rnacentral:rRNA from 1 species